rnacentral:rRNA from 1 species
UACGGGGGGAGCAAGCGUUGUUCGGAUUUACUGGGCGUAAAGGGCGCGUAGGCGGUCGUGACAAGUCACUUGUGAAAUCUCCGGGCUUAACUCGGAAAGGUCAAGUGAUACUGUCGGACUAGAGUACAGAAGGGGCAACUGGAAUUCUCGGUGUAGCGGUGAAAUGCGUAGAUAUCGAGAGGAACACCUGCGGCGAAGGCGGGUUGCUGGGACGGUACUGACGCUGAGACGCGAAAGCGUGGGGAGCAAACAGG